AACGAACGCUGGCGGCGCGUCUUAAACAUGCAAGUCGAACGGCAGGAAGAGGCUUGCCCCUUCUGAGAGUGGCGGACUGGUGAGUAACACGUGGGUGACAUACCUUUUAGUUGGGGAUAGCUAUUAGAAAUAGUAGGUAAUACCGAAUGUGACCGUACCUGUUAGAGGGGUACGAGGAAAGGAGCUAAGGCUUCGCUAAAAGAAUGGCUCGCGGCCCAUUAUGCUCGUUGGUGAGGUAACGGCCCACCAAGGCGAUGAUGGGUAUCCGGCCUGAGAGGGUGAACGGACACAUUGGGACUGAGAUACGGCCCAGACUUCUACGGGAGGCAGCAGUUAAGAAUAUUCCGCAAUGGACGAAAGUCUGACGGAGCGACGCCGCGUGGAUGAAGAAUGCCGAAAGGUUGUAAAAUCCUUUUAAGCCUGAUGAAUAAGCACAGUAGGGAAUGAUUGUGCGGUGACCGUAGGGCUUGAAUAAGCACCGGCUAAUUACGUG
rnacentral:rRNA from 1 species